rnacentral:rRNA from 1 species
UACGGGGGGGGCAAGCGUUGUUCGGAAUUACUGGGCGUAAAGGGCUCGUAGGCGGCCAACUAAGUCAGACGUGAAAUCCCUCGGCUUAACCGGGGAACUGCGUCUGAUACUGGGUGGCUUGAAUCCGGGAGAGGGAUGCGGAAUUCCAGGUGUAGCGGUGAAAUGCGUAGAUAUCUGGAGGAACACCGGUGGCGAAGGCGGCAUCCUGGACCGGUAUUGACGCUGAGGCGCGAAAGCCAGGGGAGCAAACGGG